rnacentral:lncRNA from 10 species
AGAAUACAAUAGGGUUAAGUUUUAAGGUAUUUUAUUCUUAUAGAGCCCUCUGUGUAGUACUCAAUACUAUGCUAAGAGCUCAUGAGUGUUAGUGAUUCAUAAGAAAGUUGUUGGGAAAACAGUUGUGAGAGCACGUUAACUGGAAAGACUUGCUUGAGAUCGUUUAUUGAGUUAGGACUCUGUGAAAAGUGGAGAAAAUGGAAGGAGCCUGGAGAAGUGGAGAAAGCAUCUUAUAGGAUAACACAGGGGACAGAAAGGCAGAGGUGAGAGAUGAUUUCAUCCAUACAGUUCCCCAGACUGACUGUUGGGGCAACAUCAGCGAGAGAAAGUUCCAUGCUGGGCCAGCCCUGGAAGGUCCUAGCAAGGUCACAUAAGAGUCAGCCAAGUUCUUCUCUUGAACAAGGAGGAAGACUGGAGAGAAAUGUCUUCCCCAAGGCUGCAGAGCAAAUCAUGAGCAGAAAGCAGAAGGUAUUACCAACCUGAAAGCUGGUCACUCAUACAUGUACAUUUCUGGUCGCAUGAGAAUACCUUCAACUUUUUUUGUUCCCUCAAUUUUUCCCAUUUGGGUCCUGCUAACUCAUGCUAAUAAUGAGAGCAGAGAGGGCAAACCUGAGAAGCCAGAGAAAAGUCAUAGGAUAUACAUGCAGAAAGUGAACUAAAGAGCCCAUCAGAGCAAAGCAAGGAUUAUUUUUCUGAGAAAGUGUUCUUUCUAAUCAUUAUGAAUUGGAUGAAAUAUUGGUUAAAACCAGUGCUAUUCUCUCUUAC